rnacentral:rRNA from 1 species
GAUCAUGGCUCAGGAUGAACGCUGGCGGCGUGCUUAACACAUGCAAGUCGAACGGAGUUACAUGAAACCUAGUGAUUGUAAACUUAGUGGCGGACGGGUGAGUAACGCGUGGGUAACCUGCCUUAUCCAGGGGGAUAACAGUGAGAAAUUACUGCUAAUACCGCAUAAGCGCACAGAAUCGCAUGAUACAGUGUGAAAAGAUUUAUCGGGAUAAGAUGGACCCGCGUCUGAUUAGCUAGUUGGUGAGGUAACGGCCCACCAAGGCGACGAUCAGUAGCCGGCCUGAGAGGGUGAACGGCCACAUUGGGACUGAGACACGGCCCAAACUCCUACGGGAGGCAGCAGUGGGGAAUAUUGCACAAUGGGGGAAACCCUGAUGCAGCCGACGCCGCGUGAGUGAUGAAGUAUUUCGGUAUGUAAAGCUCUAUCAGCAGGGAAGAAAAUGACGGUACCUGACUAAGAAGCCCCGGCUAACUACGUGCCAGCCGCAGC